ACUGCUGUCGUUCCUGGGGGGGUGCGGGGUGCUCUCCGCGCAGCAGCACGCCUACCAGCCGGGCCGCAGCACG
rnacentral:pre_miRNA from 1 species